rnacentral:rRNA from 1 species
AACGAACGCUGGCGGCAGGCUUAACACAUGCAAGUCGAACGCCCCGCAAGGGGAGUGGCAGACGGGUGAGUAACGCGUGGGAAUCUACCGUACCCUACGGAACAACAGUUGGAAACGACUGCUAAUACCGUAUACGCCCUACGGGGGAAAGAUUUAUCGGGGUAUGAUGAGCCCGCGUUGGAUUAGCUAGUUGGUGGGGUAAAGGCCUACCAAGGCGACGAUCCAUAGCUGGUCUGAGAGGAUGAUCAGCCACAUUGGGACUGAGACACGGCCCAAACUCCUACGGGAGGCAGCAGUGGGGAAUAUUGGACAAUGGGCGCAAGCCUGAUCCAGCCAUGCCGCGUGAGUGAUGAAGGUCUUAGGAUUGUAAAGCUCUUUCACCGAUGAAGAUAAUGACGGUAGUCGGAGAAGAAGCCCCGGCUAACUUCGUGCCAGCCGCCGCCGUAA